UACGUAGGAGACUAGUGUUAUUCAUCUUAAAUAGGUUUAAAGGGUACUUAGACGGCAAAAUUCGCCAUAUAAAGGUACAAUUUUGCUAGAGUUUUAAUAUAAGAAGAUAGUACUUUUGAGUGUAGAGAUAAAAUUCUUUGAUACCUUGGGGACUGGUUAAGGCGAAGGCAAUCUUUUAUGUAAAACUGACGUUGAAGGACGAAGGCACCGGGCACGAACAGG
rnacentral:rRNA from 1 species